UACGGAGGAUCCAAGCGUUAUCCGGAUUUAUUGGGUUUAAAGGUGCGUAGGCGGAUUGAUAAGUUAGAGGUGAAAUGUCCGAGCUCAACUCGGGAACUGCCUCUAAUACUGUUGAUCUAGAGAGUAGAUGCGGUAGGCGGAAUGUAUGGUGUAGCGGUGAAAUGCUUAGAGAUCAUACAGAACACCGAUUGCGAAGGCAGCUUACCAAUCUAUAUCUGACGUUGAGGCACGAAAGCGUGGGGAGCAAACAGG
rnacentral:rRNA from 1 species